rnacentral:lncRNA from 1 species
ACCAACCUCACGUGCACAGGAGGGUAAACGGGUCAAGCCCUGUGCCCCAUUCAGCUGUCACGGUUUUCCUAUUUCUUGGCUGUCUUGGCCUGUACCUGAGGCGAUGUUGGCCAUGUCUGUGUUGUGCUUUGCUCACUAACCUUGUGCCACAAAAAGGGGACUCAGGCUCUGCAUGACCUCCUGUGUUGUGGUGGCCUUCCCACCUCUUGCUGGGGCUCAUUUAGAUUGUCCUCAGUUUUUCGCUGAUGCAGACAGUGCUACCGCGAGCCUGUCAGCGCAGGCAGUGUCGCCCCUCUCUUAUGUUGUUUCCUCGGCGUGAUCGCCCACAUGUGGAAUCACUGCCCCAGAGUAGGAGCGUUGGAUGCAGCAGCCUGUGGGGCCAGCCUGAAGGAUGGGGCCGGUUCCCAGGCCACCGGCCCCACGUUACCUGCUUCUGCACCGCAAACUUGUCGCUGUUGGGUUUGGCGACCUUCCCAUCAAAUACAUUUUCCAAAUGCCAAGUGGGUCGGGCGCUGAUGGUCAUCUUCCCAGCUAUUCAGAAGUCUGUGCCUGCAGCCCUUCUGGCAGAAGACUGGGCAGACCUGUGUGCGGGUGUGGAUGACACACACGCGUGUCCCUACACGUGCCAACAAACAGGGUGUCAGGUGGACCAGGUCACCACAGUUUGGGUUCCUGCUGCCCCUUCUCAUUUUCAUCCUCAUUCCUUCUUGGAUGCAUUUCACUCCUCCAGGUUGGCUCUUGGCUUCAAGAGGGGCAUUUUCUGAACCUCAGCUGCUUUCAAAGGUGCUCUGCUGCUCCUGGGGCAGGGCACGAGGGAGAAGACACUUUGUCAGCCUUUCCACCCCGCUGCAUGGUCUUCCCAUUAAGAUUCAGGCUGGCUUGGCAGAUUAGGUCAUUUCUUUUCCAGUAAGUGAGUUGGCUGCUUAUGCAUUCUCCUGCGGCACCAGUGCCAGACACAUUUCUCAAUCCUCCUCCGCUGGUUGGACAAGGCCAAGAACAGACCGUUUCCACCUUCCUUACAUCAGUCUGUCAGGCUGUGGCAGGUGGCUCUGUUGGACGGCCACUGCCCUUGUCCCGGCUGUCCGGGUGACUGUCUGCCUCCAGCUCCAGUGACGUCAGGCAGAUGCUCCACCUGCAGACGAGAACAGCUGCUUCUCUGGACAGUGACUCUUCCGGUUGGAAUCCCAAUACACAUAACAUGAGAGCAUGACAAUAGCUUGCGGCUCUCAGUGUGCGUUCACACAGGCCGGGCGAUGUUCUCCAAAGCAUCUGGAACAAGCCAGAUUUUCAUCCCCCUGGCAGAGGGGUAGGCCAAGCCCUGCUGCUUCUUCUAGUUGAGUGAAGACGGACCUGGGUUCCUGUUCACCUAAUGGCAGGUGAUGUGGGAAUGGCAUUGCCAGCACAAGUAUUUGAUCACAGCUUACGGUUUCCCAUGGUCAUGGUGACCGUGGUUUUUAAGAUCCCAAGAAAGUGCUGAGCCCAGUUACCUAUUUUCAUUUAUUUUAUUCAUUCCUUGCUGAGAACUGAUCGCCCUUCAGGUUUAGGGACAACUUUUGGGAGUGGGUUUUGGGGAGAGCAGAGAGAACCAAGACACCUAAGAUGGGUUUGCAGCUCAAGGAGUCUGUCAUAUGGAUGGGGAGGUCAUGUUUGCUGGACAGCCUCUGACAUCAGCCCUUUUUACACCUUUGCCCACAAAUCUGCAGGGAUCCUGGGGAAAUGCAGAUCCUGAUCUGGGCGGCAGGACUCAGCAGAGCUCACGGUGCU